rnacentral:rRNA from 1 species
CAGCAGCCGCGGUAAUACGUAGGUGGCAAGCGUUGUCCGGAAUUAUUGGGCGUAAAGCGCGCGCAGGCGGUCCUUUAAGUCUGAUGUGAAAUCUUGCGGCUCAACCGCAAGCGGUCAUUGGAAACUGGGGGACUUGAGUGCAGGAGAGGGAAGUGGAAUUCCACGUGUAGCGGUGAAAUGCGUAGAGAUGUGGAGGAACACCAGUGGCGAAGGCGGCUUCCUGGCCUGUAACUGACGCUGAGGCGCGAAAGCGUGGGGAGCAAACAGGAUUAGAUACCCUGGUAGUCCACGCCGUAAACGAUGAGUGCUAAGUGUUAGGGGGUUUCCGCCCCUUAGUGCUGCAGCUAACGCAUUAAGCACUCCGCCUGGGGAGUACGGCCGCAAGCUGAAACUCAAAGGAAUUGACGG